UACGGAGGAUCCAAGCGUUAUCCGGAAUCAUUGGGUUUAAAGGGUCCGUAGGCGGGCCUGUAAGUCAGUGGUGAAAUCCGGCGGCUUAACCGUCGAACUGCCAUUGAUACUGCAGGUCUUGAAUUAUUGGGAAGUAACUAGAAUAUGUAGUGUAGCGGUGAAAUGCUUAGAUAUUACAUGGAAUACCGAUUGCGAAGGCAGGUUACUGCGGGUGGAUUGACGCUGAUGGACGAAAGCGUGGGGAGCGAACAGG
rnacentral:rRNA from 1 species